UGCAGGAGCUACUACCGCUGCACGAACAGCAAGUGCACCGUCAAGAAGAGAGUCGAGCGCUCUUCACACGACCCCAGCAUCGUGAUCACCACAUACGAAGGCCAACACUGUCACCACACCAUCUCCUUCCCUAGCGGCAGCAUACACCCUCGCGACACAAGGUCGACAUCUGAUCGGCUUGCCUUGUCUUCACCACAGCGACAUGUGCACCUUCCCACGCAUCCAGGCCAGCUCGUGAUGUCCGAUCCACGGUAUGAGGAUCCGAUCACACCAUUCCUGGUGGAGAGAAGCUCAUCAGCUCCCACAGACGAGGGUUUGCUAGAUGAUAUUGUGCCAUCUGGAAUGAGAAGAGGAUGAGGAGAAGAACUUGGUACUGAAACUUAAUACUCAUGUUUGGGUUUGCCUUUUGCUAGAAGAUCGAAUAUACGAGACUCUUUUGAAGUACGAUUGUCUUUGUACAUGGAGCUUAAAUGACUGUUGGACUGACUUCCAAGAGCCAGAAAACGACUUGAGGAGCAGACAGGGUGAUCCAUGGUCCAUGUAGCAUGCACUCUAUACAUACAUAGCUGGAGCUUGUGAUUUAUGCUUGGCAGGUUUUAGGUUAUGCCAGACUCUGCUUAACAUCAUCUGGUAAUGAAUCGUAGCUUUCUACUCUAAUCUCGACUUCUUCUUCUGUUGUCGUAAGAGUGCCUGAGGAAAGAAUACUCACAUGAUCACCAGUCAUGGGAAGCACGAGAUCUGCUUGUUGAUUUGUACCAGGUUCUGCUUGCACCGAGCACUUGAGGGUCGAUGCCUUCUUCGUCUGCAGCUCAAAAGUUCCUGCGCAGACAUCCCAUUCCAUGAAGUUCUACAAUAAUCUCCUCAACGUAGGUGCCAUGCGUGCAUGCAUUCGCAUGAGAAGGCAUUCAUGUAAUCUGUCUUCUCGGUUAGGGUUUUAUCUGUUUGUGGAAGUUCUACGUAACACUAGUUUGCAUGAGAUGCAUGUGGGUUUUCUCGAUUAAAGCGCCGAGGUGAAGUUUCAGUGUAACACUAUAUAUUGGUGUUUAACUUAUGUUCUCUAUCUUUUGUU